rnacentral:rRNA from 1 species
GAUGAACGCUGGCGGCGUGCUUAACACAUGCAAGUCGAACGAUGAAGCCCAGCUUGCUGGGUGGAUUAGUGGCGAACGGGUGAGUAACACGUGAGUAACCUGCCCUUAACUCUGGGAUAAGCCUGGGAAACUGGGUCUAAUACCGGAUAGGAGCGUCCACCGCAUGGUGGGUGUUGGAAAGAUUUAUCGGUUUUGGAUGGACUCGCGGCCUAUCAGCUUGUUGGUGAGGUAAUGGCUCACCAAGGCAACGAUGCAUAGCCGACCUGAGAGGGUGAUCGGCCACACUGGAACUGAGACACGGUCCAGACUCCUACGGGAGGCAGCAGUAGGGAAUCUUCCGCAAUGGGCGAAAGCCUGACGGAGCAACGCCGCGUGAGUGAUGAAGGUCUUCGGAUCGUAAAACUCUGUUAUUAGGGAAGAACAUAUGUGUAAGUAACUGUGCACAUCUUGACGGUACCUAAUCAGAAAGCCACGGCUAACUACGUG